rnacentral:rRNA from 1 species
CAGCAGCCACGGGAAUACGAAGGGCGCGAGCGUUACCCGGAUUUACUGGGCGUAAAGGGCGUGUAGGCGGCCUGGGGCGUCCCAUGUGAAAGGCCACGGCUCAACCGUGGAGGAGCGUGGGAUACGCUCAGGCUAGAGGGUGGGAGAGGGUGGUGGAAUUCCCGGAGUAGCGGUGAAAUGCGCAGAUACCGGGAGGAACGCCGAUGGCGAAGGCAGCCACCUGGUCCACUUCUGACGCUGAGGCGCGAAAGCGUGGGGAGCAAACAGGAUUAGAUACCCGCGUAGUCCCUGUCUCUUAUAC